GUGCCAGCAGCCGCGGUAAUACGUAGGGUGCGAGCGUUGUCCGGAUUUAUUGGGCGUAAAGAGCUCGUAGGCGGUCUGUCGCGUCUGCUGUGAAAACUCGGGGCUUAACCCCGAGCCUGCAGUGGGUACGGGCAGACUAGAGUGUGGUAGGGGAGACUGGAAUUCCUGGUGUAGCGGUGGAAUGCGCAGAUAUCAGGAGGAACACCGAUGGCGAAGGCAGGUCUCUGGGCCACAACUGACGCUGAGGAGCGAAAGCGUGGGGAGCGAACAGGAUUAGAAACCCUUGUAGUCC
rnacentral:rRNA from 1 species